rnacentral:rRNA from 1 species
CCUACGGGAGGCAGCAGUAGGGAAUAUUGCACAAUGGGGGAAACCCUGAAGCAGCAACGCCGCGUGGAGGAUGAAGGUUUUCGGAUUGUAAACUCCUUUUGUUAGAGAAGAUAAUGACGGUAUCUAACGAAUAAGCACCGGCUAACUCCGUGCCAGCAGCCGCGGUAAUACGGAGGGUGCAAGCGUUACUCGGAAUCACUGGGCGGAAAGAGCGCGGAGGCGGGAUAGCAAGUCAGAUGUGAAAUCCUAUGGCUUAACCAUAGAACUGCAUUUGAUACUGUUACUCUAGAGUAUGGGAGAGGUAGGUAGAAUUCCUGGUGUAGGGGUGAAAUGCGUAGAGAUCAAGAGGAAUACUCAUUGCGAAGGCGACCUGCUAGAACAAGACUGACGCUGAUGUGCGAAAGCGUGGGGAGCAAACAGGAUUAGAUACCCUUGUAGUC